rnacentral:rRNA from 1 species
UACGGAGGAUGCGAGCGUUAUCCGGAUUUAUUAGGUUUAAAGGGUGUGUAGGCGGAAGUCUAAGUCAGUGGUGAAAUCCCCAGCUUAACUGGGGAACGUGCCAUUGAUACUGGAGGCCUUGAGUGCAGAUGAGGUAGGCGGAAUGUGUAGUGUAGUGGUGAAAUACUUAGAUAUUACACAGAACACCGAUUGCGAAGGCAGCUUACUAAAUUGCAACUGACGCUGAGGCACGAAAGCGU